rnacentral:lncRNA from 1 species
CAUUCUAUACAUUAAUAACAUGCUUAAUAAACAUUUGUUAAUGUGACUUAACAUUUACCUUAAAUGUUAUAGUGGGGCUUGCUUGUUUUUUAAAAAAUUAAAUUCUUAUUUUUAAAAAUGUUUUUGUGGUGUGAUGUGUGUGUGUGUGUGUGUGUGUGUGUGUGUGUGUGUGUUUAUUUUGGCUGUGCUGCAUGGCUUGUGGAAUCUUUGUUCCCCAACCAGGGACUGAACCAGGCUGCUUGGCAGUGAAAGAACAGAGCCCUAGCCACUGGGCUGCUGCGGGAUUCUCUGUGCUUUCUAUUUUAAUCUCACACGUGGCUUUUUACAAUCAGCCCCAGAACACUUUCUUUUUUUUAAGACUUUUUAUACCAUUCUUGACUAUGUAAAAUUCUAGUUGAAUUGUUGCAUUUUAGUGUAUCUCUAGAGAUAAUGAAACUUUUUCUGUUAAUCUUGGAUAAACCUUUCUAACAGUAGUUUCAGCAUCUUAUCAAGUAUUUCUAUAAAUACUUUUCAGAAAACCAAAGCAAAAUAAAACUAAUAGUGCUUCUCCAGGGCUUUUGUUAUCAAAGUAAUUUAUUUGAGGUCACCCUGUUUUUUAUUACAAUUGGGUAUUCACAAAACUGAGACAGUAUCCUAAGGUGUCCUUGUGUGAGCUGUGUAUUUUAAGCAAUGAGUGUUCUGUACUAACAAGGUUUGCAUUUUUAGAGUAAUAAAAGUUAUCAAGUACUGUUUAAUUUUGGCAUCCAUUGUUCCAUACUUUGUUAUGCCAGUUAUAUUUCUUUUAAUCCCAUCUAUUUAAAAUGUUUGCUGUAUGUCUUUAUAAGAGAUGCAAUGUAGGAUUGGAAAUUGGGAGACCCAGAUUUUAUCCUUUGGCUCUCUAGUUAGAUGAAUCUAACUGAAGAAUUUGGGCCGGAUCUUUACGGACUCUUCAUUUUUAAAUUCUGGAGUUUAUUUAUUUUAAGUCUCUGCUGUAUCAGAAGUAGUGCCAGAUGGAACACACAGUCUUCAAACUAGAUUGGAAGGUUAUGGCAGUCCAGAUUCCUAGUUCCGGAGACUGAGAACCCCGGCACGGUGAUGUGGUCCAUGAGCCCCACAGCUAAGUGGGAGGUGUGGCGGGGAUGGGGCUUUCCCAUCUCUGCUGCUCCACACUUUGCUCAGAAUAGUUGUACCUGGUGUUUAUUUGAUUAAAGAAACACUGAUUAUCUUAUACAACUUCCCUGGUGGCUCAAAUGGUAAAGCGUCUGCCUGCAAUGCGGGAGACCUGGGUUCAUUCCCUGGGUUGGGAAGAUAUCCUGGAGAAGGAAAUGGCAACCCACUGCAGUAUUCUUGCCUGGAUUAUUUUAUACCUAUGAGGCAUUUUUAUUAGGAAUGUUGCUAGCUGCCAAGAUGCAUAAAUGAGGGAAUAUGGAGCCCAGCAAAUCUGGGUCCACAAUCUAGCUGCCCGCUUAGUUCUGCGUCCUCAGGUAAGUAGUUGUAAGGAUUAAAUGAGCUACUAAAGAUUAUACUUAGCAUGGUGCCUGGUAUAUAGGAGGCCAUUGUAGAGAUUAUGAUGGAGGUAGAAAGGGAUUAAGAUUUACAGAACUCUUUCAUCUGUUGUCUUGCUUGGCUCACAUCCUGUGAGAGGGAUAAUUCUGAGUUCUCCAGUGAGGCAGCGGCUCUGAAGGUGUGGGGCUUCUCCUGCGCCCUGCAGCUGUUGGUCUUAGCCAGCACUGUUGACGCUUUGUGUUUCCCAGGCAGUGUUUAAGUAAUUUUUGUGUCCUAGCUGAUUUGCCAUGUAAGUCAGGUGUACUGUUGUUAUUUUUACUGUACAGACAAGAGAAAUCAGGCACACAAAGGUUUGGUUAACUUUCCAGUGACUGAGCCUGUAGAGUUGGGAUUUGAGUGCAGGCAGUUUCUGUGUCGUUCCUUUAUUUUGUGUGGCCUUUUGGGAUGGUAAAGAGCCAUGUUGCAAACUGGAAAGCUCUAUGUACGAUGCAGUGCUGUUUUAUCUGAUGUGGAGAUUACAGUCCACUGGGGAUAUGUCUUCUCCACGCUAAACCUCCUCACUUCUCCCAUCUGCUAGACGUUGCCCUUAGCAUUUCCGCCUUUUUUUUCCCUUGAUAAUACUGCAGCUUGUCAGUAGUCUUCCUCUAAUGUAUCCCCAGAAAUGGAUACAGUAGAUCCAUUAUACUGCUUAGAUAUGGCCUGAGUAGUACAGAAUCUAGGAACCAUUUAAUGUUGCUUACUGUUGUAGUGGCUUUUUAGCAACGUAGUAACUGGUUUAAGUUUAUGGUCAACCUAAACUCCUGGAUUUGGGGAGGUUUUUUUUUUUUUAAAGCUAUCUUCUGGAAAUUGUCUUAUCCCCAUUUUAUAGUUUUACUCUGCCUUCCGGCAGUUACUAGAAUUAAAUGAAAGAGUGAGUAUAAAGUUCUUGGCACAGUGACCAUCAGGUGGUGAUACCUCAGUAAAUGGUGGUGGUUUUCCUGUUACAUAUAUUUAUCUAAAUUUUUCCUAGUCAGAAGUUAUAUGGAUAGAUUCUUCUGUUUUUGUGAUUCAAGAUCAUUGGUAAUGAUAAAAAUUUGUGAUCAAGUUGCUGAGCAGCUAUAUUUGAGUAGAAAUAAAUGUAAGUGAAGUUAAGUUUAAGGAAGGAUUGUAGAGAAAUGGGAAGUAACAUUUGAGAAUCAUAUUCUCAUGCUUCUGCUGUUCGUUUUAAAUAAUAUUAGGUAAUUUUGGUCACUGUCGUUUGGUUUUACAUGUUACAUGUGUGGGAGAAGAAAAGUUUGUAUUAUUGCAGUACUAUCCUCUGCAAAGCCUUUUGAAAUAUAUAAUGUCUAGGACUUCCCUCAUGGUCCAUUGGUUAAGAAGUUGGAUUUCCACUGCAGGGGGUACAAGUUCAAUCCUUGAUCAGGGAACUAAGAUCCUGCUUGCUGUGUGGUGCGGCCAAAAAAUAAUGUGAUGUUUACACCACUCCCCCCCAAAAAAAUCAUUGAUAAAAAUAUAGAUUAACUAGAGGCUGAGACAUAACAGAAUCUCCUUCCAGGCAGACGGAGACUUAGAUGUGGGAUUUUAUCUCACAUCUAGAGAUGGGGGAGAAGCAGUCUCUUAGGUUUGUAUAGCUCACGUCUCGACAUCAUAUCAAAUACAGAAGAAUGUGUGUGUGUGUAUGUAAUUUUUGUCAUCCCUUGCAAGUGGAAAGCUAUUGAACUUCAAAUUUAUUUCUUAUAACCUAACAAUAUUUCUGUCAACCUUUAGCAUAGAU